GAUGAACGCUGACAGAAUGCUUAACACAUGCAAGUCAACUUGAACUUCGGUUUGGGUGGCGGACGGGUGAGUAACGCGUAAAGAACUUGCCUCACAGAUAGGGACAACAUUUGGAAACGAAUGCUAAUACCUGAUAUUAUGAUUAUAUGGCAUCGUAUAAUUAUGAAAGCUGUAUGCGCUGUGAGAGAGCUUUGCGUCCCAUUAGCUAGUUGGAGAGGUAACGGCUCACCAAGGCGAUGAUGGGUAGCCGGCCUGAGAGGGUGAUCGGCCACAAGGGGACUGAGACACGGCCCUUACUCCUCCGGGAGGCAGCAGUGGGGAAUAUUGGACAAUGGACCAAGAGUCUGAUCCAGCAAUUCUGUGUGCACGAUGAAGUUUUUCGGAAUGUAAAGUGCUUUCAGUUGGGAAGAAAAAAAUGACGGUACCAACAGAAGAAGUGACGGCUAAAUACGUG
rnacentral:rRNA from 1 species